AGAAUUUGUCACACAGUCGACGUUAAACAAUAUUAUACACAUCGAAACCUCUGAACAGCUCUACAUCAGACGCAAAAACGUAUCUACAAUGAACAAGAACGCAUUUGUGGUUUUGCUGGUUAUAUUACUCGUAAUGGCGGAAUGUGUACAAGUCAAUGCGUUUAAACGUAGACGAUCCAUAAGAAAUGCGAACGAUAUGGAUGACAGUGUCUCAAAUGAAUCAGACAUGGAACAGAAGAAUGCAGGGGUCAACAGUGAAAAUAUAUUUGAAUGAUGAUGAAUGAACAAAAUGUGAAGUGAAGAAAAAAAAAUAUUCAACAUAA